CCUGCUUCUUCUUAUAACUAAAUGGUCUAGUGAUAAACCCAUUUAGAGUAGUUGGUUACUCAUAUAAUAAAACUAGAUCUACACAAUAAUUGCUAGCAUAUAUCUCAUAUAUCAUAUCUAGUCUAACACAUGCUGAAUUUAAAUCUAAAAUACUUUUAGAUCUAUAGAUCUAAUCUAAAUAUUUUUAGAUCUGAUCACUACUUUAGAGCUCAUUUGAAUCAGAUCUGAUCCAAUUUGGAUCUAUGAUCCGUGUAACUUGACUCUGAUACUAGUUGAAUGAUCGGGUGGCACAUCGGAUUAGUUUGGAUCAAAGCCAGCGGAAUUCAAAAAUUUUUCAUCGAUCCGACAUGCCAGGCAUGGAUCUAAAUCAGAUUUAUUAAGCAUUUAUAUCAACAUAUAAAAUAGAGAGAAAUGAUCUCAUCACCUUGUGCGGGUGGAUGAACACUAUAAUCUGUAUACCAUGGAUCUGAAGGAGGUUUACUUGUGGAGCUGCGUACGUAUCCAACAUCUAUAGGUAUCCACUUGGAUCAAUUUUGGAUCGUUCUUCUAUCGAGCCUUUCU
rnacentral:lncRNA from 1 species